rnacentral:rRNA from 1 species
GAUGAACGCUGGCGGCGUGCUUAACACAUGCAAGUCGAGCGAUGAAGUUUCCUUCGGGAAACGGAUUAGCGGCGGACGGGUGAGUAACACGUGGGUAACCUGCCUCAUAGAGUGGAAUAGCCUUCCGAAAGGAAGAUUAAUACCGCAUAAUGUUGAAAGAUGGCAUCAUCAUUCAACCAAAGGAGCAAUCCGCUAUGAGAUGGACCCGCGGCGCAUUAGCUAGUUGGUGGGGUAACGGCCUACCAAGGCGACGAUGCGUAGCCGACCUGAGAGGGUGAUCGGCCACAUUGGGACUGAGACACGGCCCAGACUCCUACGGGAGGCAGCAGUGGGGAAUAUUGCACAAUGGGGGAAACCCUGAUGCAGCAACGCCGCGUGAGUGAUGAAGGUUUUCGGAUCGUAAAGCUCUGUCUUUGGGGAAGAUAAUGACGGUACCCAAGGAGGAAGCCACGGCUAACUACGUGCCAGCAGCCGCCGUAA